rnacentral:rRNA from 1 species
GCGGCGCGCCUAACACAUGCAAGUCGAACGGAGAUUACAGGCGGAAGUUUUCGGAUGGAAGCUUGUAAACUUAGUGGCGGACGGGUGAGUAACACGUGAGCAACCUGCCUAUCAGAGGGGGAUAACGAUUGGAAACGAUCGCUAAUACCGCAUGACAUAGCGGAACCGCAUGGUUCUGUUAUCAAAGAUUUUAUCGCUGAUAGAUGGGCUCGCGUCCGAUUAGAUAGUUGGUGGGGUAACGGCCUACCAAGUCGACGAUCGGUAGCCGGACUGAGAGGUCGAACGGCCACAUUGGGACUGAGACACGGCCCAGACUCCUACGGGAGGCAGCAGUGGGGGAUAUUGCACAAUGGGGGAAACCCUGAUGCAGCGACGCCGCGUGAGGGAAGACGGUCCUCUGGAUUGUAAACCUCUGUCUUCGGGGACGAAACGAGACGGUACCCGAGGAGGAAGCCACGGCUAACUACGUGCCAGCAGCCGCGGUAAUACGUAGGUGGCAAGCGUUGUCCGGAAUUACUGGGUGUAAAGGGAGCGUAGGCGGGCAGGCAAGUCAGGCGUGAAAUAUAUCGGCUCAACCGGUAACGGCGCUUGAAACUGCAGGUCUUGAGUGAAGUAGAGGUUGGCGGAAUUCCUAGUGUAGCGGUGAAAUGCGUAGAUAUUAGGAGGAACACCAGUGGCGAAGGCGGCCAACUGGGCUUUUACUGACGCUGAGGCUCGAAAGUGUGGGGAGCAAACAGGAUUAGAUACCCUGGUAGUCCACACCGUAAACGAUGAUUACUAGGUGUGGGGGGACUGACCCCUUCCGUGCCGGAGUUAACACAAUAAGUAAUCCACCUGGGGAGUACGGCCGCAAGG